UGAGGAAUAUUGGUCAAUGGACGAGAGUCUGAACCAGCCAAGUAGCGUGAAGGAUGACUGCCCUAUGGGUUGUAAACUUCUUUUUCAGGGGAAUAAUAAUCGUCACGUGUGGCGUAUUGCAUGUACCCUGUGAAUAAGCAUCGGCUAAUUCCGUGCCAGCAGCCGCGGUAAUACGGAAGAUGCGAGCGUUAUCCGGAUUUAUUGGGUUUAAAGGGAGCGUAGGCGGGAGGUUAAGUCAGCUGUGAAACCCUGUGGCUCAACCAUAGGCGUGCAGUUGAUACUGUCCUUCUUGAGUGCGGCAGAGGCAGGCGGAAUUCGUGGUGUAGCGGUGAAAUGCUUAGAUAUCACGAAGAACUCCGAUUGCGAAGGCAGCCUGCUGGACCGUAACUGACGCUGAUGCUCGAAAGUGCGGGUAUCAAACAGG
rnacentral:rRNA from 1 species